CCUACGGGAGGCAGCAGUGAGGAAUAUUGGUCAAUGGGCGAGAGCCUGAACCAGCCAAGUCGCGUGAGGGAAGACGGUCCUAUGGAUUGUAAACCUCUUUUGUCGGGGAGCAAAAAGGCCUCGUGAGGCCACAAGUGAGAGUACCCGAAGAAAAAGCAUCGGCUAACUCCGUGCCAGCAGCCGCGGUAAUACGGAGGAUGCGAGCGUUAUCCGGAUUUAUUGGGUUUAAAGGGUGCGUAGGCGGACUGGAAAGUCAGCGGUAAAAUCGAGAGGCUCAACCUCUUUCCGCCGUUGAAACUGUCGGUCUUGAGUGGGCGAGAAGUAUGCGGAAUGCGUGGUGUAGCGGUGAAAUGCAUAGAUAUCACGCAGAACUCCGAUUGCGAAGGCAGCAUACCGGCGCCCGACUGACGCUGAGGCACGAAAGCGUGGGUAUCGAACAGGAUUAGAUACCCCUGUAGUC
rnacentral:rRNA from 1 species